CUCGCCCCAGGGAUAUCCGUGCUCCACUCGGCAGCGUCCAGACACCUGGUAGCUGGUGCCAGGUUCCAGGUUCUGCAUCUCAACAGGAGUCAUCAGGUUCACAAAGACAGGGGACCAGAGAGGUCGUCCUUCUAGUGUCCCCCAGAUGAGGAGCUGGUCAGCCAUGGUGAACUGUUCCCGGGGAAUGGUCACCCAGCUCUGCCUGGAAGGCACCUUCACCUCCUGGGUUCUGUUGGAAUGGCUGUGAGGAGACAUGAAGGAAGGGGUACAUCUUGGCACAGGCUAAGCUUGGUACCUCCUUGCCUGGACUUCAUACCCUCAACCCUCUCUGCUGGAGUCUGAAGGCCUGCUCUUAUGACGAAACUGUGUGGCCUGAAGCCAGUGAUUUAACCCCUCUAUCCCUCUAUCCCGCUUCAAUACAUGUACAUUCUGGCCGGGAGGUGGUGACACACAUCUUUCAUUGAAGCACUGGGGAGCAGAGGCAGGAGGAUCUAUGUGAGUUCAAGGACAGCCUGGUCUACUGAGCAAGUUCUGGGACAGCCAAGGCUAUGCAGUGAAAGCCUGGCCAAAAAAAAAAAAAAAAAAAAAAAAAAUCAAGAAAACAGAACAAAACAAA